UUCCAAAGUGUUGAGUUCAGUUCAGGGUAGCUUCCCCUGUUCUGGUAAUUAAACUUUGGGACAUUAAAUAGUUGGAAGAUGUCAAAGGUGGGAACUUUUACUUUUCUGUCCUUACUUCUUUCCAACCCACAAAA